GACGAACGCUGGCGGCGUGCUUAACACAUGCAAGUCGAACGGAAAGGCCCUGCUUUUGUGGGGUGCUCGAGUGGCGAACGGGUGAGUAACACGUGAGUAACCUGCCCUUGACUUUGGGAUAACUUCAGGAAACUGGGGCUAAUACCGGAUAGGAGCUCCUGCUGCAUGGUGGGGGUUGGAAAGUUUCGGCGGUUGGGGAUGGACUCGCGGCUUAUCAGCUUGUUGGUGGGGUAGUGGCUUACCAAGGCUUUGACGGGUAGCCGGCCUGAGAGGGUGACCGGCCACAUUGGGACUGAGAUACGGCCCAGACUCCUACGGGAGGCAGCAGUGGGGAAUAUUGCACAAUGGGCGGAAGCCUGAUGCAGCAACGCCGCGUGCGGGAUGACGGCCUUCGGGUUGUAAACCGCUUUCGCCUGUGACGAAGCGUGAGUGACGGUAAUGGGUAAAGAAGCACCGGCUAACUACGUGCCAGCAGCCGCGGUGAUACGUAGGGUGCGAGCGUUGUCCGGAUUUAUUGGGCGUAAAGGGCUCGUAGGUGGUUGAUCGCGUCGGAAGUGUAAUCUUGGGGCUUAACCCUGAGCGUGCUUUCGAUACGGGUUGACUUGAGGAAGGUAGGGGAGAAUGGAAUUCCUGGUGGAGCGGUGGAAUGCGCAGAUAUCAGGGGGAACACCAGUGGCGAAGGCGGUUCUCUGGGCCUUUCCUGACGCUGAGGAGCGAAAGCGUGGGGAGCGAACAGGCUUAGAUACCCUGGUAGUCCACGCUGUAAACGGUGGGUACUAGGUGUGGGGUCCAUUCCACGGGUUCCGUGCCGUAGCUAACGCUUUAAGUACCCCGCCUGGGGAGUACGGCCGCAAGGCUAAAACUCAAAGGAAUUGACGGGGCCCCGCACAAGCGGCGGAGCAUGCGGAUUAAUUCGAUGCAACGCGUAGAACCUUACCUGGGUUUGACAUGGAUCGGGAGUGCUCAGAGAUGGGUGUGCCUCUUUUGGGGUCGGUUCACAGGUGGUGCAUGCCUGUCGUCAGCUCGUGUCGUGAGAUGUUGGGUUAAGUCCCGCAACGAGCGCAACCCUUGUUCACUGUUGCCAGCACGUUAUGGUGGGGACUCAGUGGAGACCGCCGGGGUCAACUCGGAGGAAGGUGGGGAUGACGUCAAGUCCUCAUGCCCCUUAUGUCCAGGGCUUCACGCAUGCUACAAUGGCUGGUACAGAGAGUGGCGAGCCUGUGAGGGUGAGCGAAUCUCGGAAAGCCGGUCUCAGUUCGGAUUGGGGUCUGCAACUCGACCUCAUGAAGUCGGAGUCGCUAGUAAUCGCAGAUCAGCAACGCUGCGGUGAAUACGUUCCCGGG
rnacentral:rRNA from 1 species